rnacentral:sRNA from 21 species
ACCUGUUGCGGGCAGGCGAGUGGGCACCCGCAGCACCAGACAGAACACCGUGCCACGGGAACAAUCGGGGCACUUCAGGGCGUU